CUGGAGAUCAGACGUGAUCUCUUCCUUAAUGCCCCUUACCCAUUUAGCGCAUCCCCCCUCUCACAGUCCCUCCAGUAACCCGCUGUUUGUUCUCCAUAUUUAAGACUCUCUUAAUGUUUUGCCCCCUCCCUUUCCCUAAAAUACUUUGUUCCCUUGAUGAUACUUGGUGACUUUUUAUACCAGUCACUUAGUGUGUGUCCUU